CUCAGAAUUUCUUUUAUACAAAUCUGACCAAUUACUGUCUGUACUGCACCCAGCAUAUGAUCAUAGACUGAGAUAGAAACAUAUACAGACAUGCGGAUAGAUGUAUCAUAUAGAUAGAUAGAUAAAUAGAUAGCCACAUGAGAUUAUAAUUUAGGAGCCAGAAUACUGCUAUUCUUAGCAUCAAUGUAUACAGCUCUUUUACUCCUACUUAAUUUCAGAGCAGUCGUGUUGAUAUUUAUGGUCCAGGGAAGAGUGCAACAUAUUAAAAUGUGUCAUAUAGUAAUACAGGUUUUAGACGCUUCUGGGAUUUGCCAUGCCUUGUUCUAGUCAUCAAAUAUAUCUACGACUUUAAACGUUUAAGACAUUGUUAAUGGGACACUAUAGGCACCAAAACAACGUUAGCUUAAAAAAAAGCAGUUUUGGUGUAUAGAUCAUGCAUGUGCAGUCUCACUGUUCCAUUCUAUGCCAUUUAUGAGUUCAAUCACUUUGUUUCUACAGCCCUAGUUACACCACCCUGCGUGUAACUUGCACUGCCUUGCUAAGCAGAUCUCAUAUUAGAUCCUAAUAAAGAUCUAAUAUUUAAACGUCCUUUAUUAUACAUUAUGUUUAAUUUAGAAUUUCCUAUCUCCUGCUCUGUUAAUAGUCUUCUAGACAUUGCAUUAGCCUCCUAUGUCUGGUUAAAGUUCAAAUAAUAGAGCAAGAGAUAAAAAUGUCUAAAGCAAGUUAACAUCUGAUUGAAAAUGAAACUGUUUGUUUUCAUGCAGGCUGUGUGAGUCACAGCCAGGAGAGGUAUGGCUAGGGAUGCAUUAACAGAAACAAAAGGGAUUUAACUCCUAAAUGGCAGAGAAUUGAGCAGUGAAACUGCAGGGGCAUGAUCUAUAUAUCUAAACUGGUUCAUUAAAGGGAUUCUAUAAGUGCCCGGAAUACAAAGCUGUAUUCCUGGCACUAUAGCUCCCUCUGACUCCCCCUCCCUCGCUCCAUCCCUUCCCGGUGGAUGAAGGGUUAAAAACCCUUUACUUACUUACCUGAUCCUAGCGCCGAUGUCCCUUGUGACUGGGUCACAGUGCUGCCUCCUCAUCCCAUAUGGGGAAAAAUCUGAUGCUGGAUGUCCUCAUGCAGAGCGUGAGGAAGUCCAGCGUCAGUUACCGGACCAAAGGUCCCUUUGGAUCCAGGAAGUGUCUGGGAGACAACCACUGGAAGUAGACUUAGUACUGCAAUGUAGGACUAUGUGCAAUAGGGACACUGCACUCAGACAACCUCAAUGAGCCUGAAGUGGUUUGGGUGCUUAUAGUGUCCCUUUAAGCAAAAGUUGUUUUAGUGCCUAUAGUAUCCUUUUAAGUAAAGUUUUUGAAAGUCAACUGUAUUUUAAUCUUUCAGAGGACAGAAAGAUGUGUAAAGUGAUACUAUACAGAGUUAUAUUAAUACAUAAAUCAUAUAUCUCUUCUUUCUCACAUUUAGU